rnacentral:rRNA from 1 species
UUAUGGAGAGUUUGAUCCUGGCUCAGGAUGAACGCUGGCGGCGUGCCUAAUACAUGCAAGUCGAGCGAACAGACGAGGAGCUUGCUCCUCUGACGUUAGCGGCGGACGGGUGAGUAACACGUGGGUAACCUACCUAUAAGACUGGGAUAACUCCGGGAAACCGGGGCUAAUACCGGAUAACACAUGAAACCGCAUGGUUUCAUGAUGAAAGACGGUUUUGCUGUCACUUAUAGAUGGACCCGCGGCGUAUUAGCUAGUUGGUAAGGUAACGGCUGACCAAGGCAACGAUACGUAGCCGACCUGAGAGGGUGAUCGGCCACACUGGAACUGAGACACGGUCCAGACUCCGACGGGAGGCAGCAGUAGGGAAUCUUCCGCAAUGGGCGAAAGCCUGACGGAGCAACGCCGCGUGAGUGAUGAAGGUCUUCGGAUCGUAAAACUCUGUUAUUAGGGAAGAACAAGGAUGUAAGUAACUG